rnacentral:lncRNA from 1 species
UGUAUGCCAAGUGUGAGUAUCAGACUUUUCCAUUUCUCUGACAUUUGUAAAGAAUAAUCAUACUUUUACUGAAUUUAAAAUGAUUAUUUCAGUAAAAUAAUCAAUUUUACUGAAUUGCUGGCCAUUUAAUUUGCUCACCAUAGCGAGGACCCUUUUCAAUGAAUUGAAAUAUAAUGCAAACUUGACUGGGAAUAAUUAAACUUUCACAGUUGAGAAAACACUUAGUAUAUUUUGACCAUCGUUACAGACAUCAACUUAGAAAAUAGGUGGGGAAUUUUCUGUUUUAGGAUUUUGGAUUUUAAAAUUCUGGAUAAAUGAAAAUUUAUUUCAUUUCUCACUAUAUGUAUUAUUUACAUUAAGUAGGAAGGAAACAUUC